rnacentral:rRNA from 1 species
GAGUAACACGUGGGUAACCUGCCUGUAAGACUGGGAUAACUCCGGGAAACCGGAGCUAAUACCGGAUAGUUCCUUGAACCGCAUGGUUCAAGGAUGAAAGACGGUUUCGGCUGUCACUUACAGAUGGACCCGCGGCGCAUUAGCUAGUUGGUGAGGUAACGGCUCACCAAGGCGACGAUGCGUAGCCGACCUGAGAGGGUGAUCGGCCACACUGGGACUGAGACACGGCCCAGACUCCUACGGGAGGCAGCAGUAGGGAAUCUUCCGCAAUGGACGAAAGUCUGACGGAGCAACGCCGCGUGAGUGAUGAAGGUUUUCGGAUCGUAAAGCUCUGUUGUUAGGGAAGAACAAGUGCAAGAGUAACUGCUUGCACCUUGACGGUACCUAACCAGAAAGCCACGGCUAACUACGUGCCAGCAGCCGCGGUAAUACGUAGGUGGCAAGCGUUGUCCGGAAUUAUUGGGCGUAAAGGGCUCGCAGGCGGUUUCUUAAGUCUGAUGUGAAAGCCCCCGGCUCA